GACGAACGCUGGCGGCGUGCUUAACACAUGCAAGUCGAACGGAAAGGCCCUGCUUUUGUGGGGUGCUCGAUUGGCGAACGGGUGAGUAACACGUGAGUAACCUGCCCUUGACUUUGGGAUAACUUCAGGAAACUGGGGCUAAUACCGGAUAGGAGCUCCUGCUGCAUGGUGGGGGUUGGAAAGUUUCGGCGGUUGGGGAUGGACUCGCGGCUUAUGCGCUUGUUGGUGGGGUAGUGGCUUACCAAGGCUUUGACGGGUAGCCGGCCUGAGAGGGUGACCGGCCACAUUGGGACUGAGAUACGGAGCAGACGGCUACGGGAGGCAGCAGUGGGGAGUAUUGCACAAUGGGCGGAAGCCUGAUACAGCAGCGCCGCGUGCGGGAUGACGGCCUUCGGGUUGUGAACCGCUUUCGCCUGUGACGAAGCGUGAGUGACGGUAAUGGGUAAAGAAGCACCGGCUAACUACGUG
rnacentral:rRNA from 1 species